CUGACAGUGACUGCUAGAAGUCAUCUCAGUUUGACAGAGGCCAGCUCCUAUCCACAUCCAUUAGAGGCUAUUGAGUAGAAAGUAUCUGAAGUACUUGUUGUUGAUUCAGCUUGUUCCUGUGUGUAAUCAGAGCUUCCAAUAGCAAUCACAGUAUAGUCAAAGCUGCCUCGUCCACAUAUUUGGAGAUGCUCGCGUUGUGGCGCCGUAAAACGAGAUUUCCGCCCAAACACAUUGGCAACAAAAACAGAGAGCGUUGCCAGCGCACUGCAGUACCGACUGUUGGCGGUGAAACGUUCGGGGGAAGAGUGCUGCAUUGCUGCGGCACAACUGGCAGCGUGCCUUUACUUCAAACCCCCCCUACUGGUGAAAACAGGGUCCCACUGUGUCUCGUCCAAAACCUGAUGUAAAUAAAUAAUGGAGUAAAGUGUGUGGGAGGGGAUGAGGUCAGCGAAAUCACUAGGACCUGCAAACAUAGCAACUGCCAUUCGGAUCCUGCAUUCUCACUUUCUCUGGGGCUAUUUUGGCCUGCGGGCAGUUAACAAAAUGUAAUAUUAAAGGUGCACUGCGUAACUUUUCGAGUUGGAGGUCUGCCACCAUGGAGAUGCUAUUGCUGUGCCUGUAUAUGGUAUUAAAUGUAUGUAAGUUGCAUUUAUUCAGUUAUGACUGUGAGUGGGGUCACCGCUUCAGAAAAUUGGCCUGGUGGCGUCUUCUGCUUGUCUCUGUGGAGAUUGAUAAGUUUAAUGCCAUACUUUGGAACAUUGCAGGCGAAGCAAUAACAUUUCCAUGGACACAAGCAAGUAACAGGCCCUCCACCAGGAAAGUUACACAAUAAACCUUUAACUCUUGCCAUCAAAACACUACUACUGCUUAAUUUUUUGUGCAGUCCUGCUCCAUCACUUACUAGUAUUCUACUCCACUGUGGGAUGAAGCUGGGAGAGUACCACAGAACUUGGCCAAAACAUUCAGGGACAAUCAGGCAAAGUUAAACAGAUUCAUUAGGGAAAAUUAGGUUUUACAAGUCGUUGAACAGUGACGCAAAAUGCACAUAGACUUGGCUGACUCAAUCUCAUUGCAACACGAGAGCACUCAAGGGAGAAGAUUAUAUUAAAGGUGCAUUGUGUAACUUUUCUGGUGGAGGAUUCAUCAGUUGCUUUUUCGCCAUGGAGAUGGGUUAGUUAUUGCUUUGUCUGGAAUGUUUCACUGUAUGGUAUUAAACCUUUCUAUCUUUACAGAGAGCAAACUGGACCAAUUACAGCUUAGAUCUGUGGAGAGGCAACCCCGCUCACAGUGAGAAUGCCUGUUUUUCUAGGUAUUUUUGAGCUGUAAAACCACCUGUAAGUGAAUAAAUGUAAGGCAGAGCUGUUUAAUGUCAUACUGUGGAACAUUCCAGGCAGAGCAAUGACAUCUCCAUAGAAACAAGCAGGUGACAGAACCCAACCACAAAAUUAAACAGUGCACAGUGCAGUUUUUGUCAUUUUAGAGGAUCCAGAUAAUACACCAGUGUUGUAAGGACUGUAACUUGUUUUUAUUUUACAACAAGACAGACUUUGAACAUUUAAAGUCAUUCCAU